rnacentral:rRNA from 1 species
UACGAAGGGGGCUAGCGUUGCUCGGAAUCACUGGGCGUAAAGGGUGCGUAGGCGGGUCUUUUAAGUCAGGGGUGAAAUCCUGGAGCUCAACUCCAGAACUGCCUUUGAUACUAAAGAUCUUGAGUUCGGGAGAGGUGAGUGGAACUGCGAGUGUAGAGGUGAAAUUCGUAGAUAUUCGCAAGAACACCAGUGGCGAAGGCGGCUCACUGGCCCGGUACUGACGCUGAGGUGCGAAAAGCGUGGGGGAGCAAACAGG